ACGUGACAAGUUUAUAAAACUAUUAACAGAUGUAGACCUUCUGUUGGCAUCUGAUACACAUUUUCUUCUGUCUAACUGGAUUGGUGAUGCUAAAGCCUGGGCAACUGAUGCGAAUGAAUCAACUCUGUAUGAAUAUAAUGCUCGUAAUCAAAUUACGUUAUGGGGACCAAAUGGAGAGAUUAUGGACUACGCAUCUAAACAGUGGGCAGGACUUUUUACUGAUUAUUAUAAACCAAGAUGGCAGCUGUUUAUUGAUACUUUAAUAAAUUGUGUUAAAACAGGACAGAAAUUUGACAAUGGUGCAUAUGGAACAGAGGUUCUGGCUCAAGUGGAAAAACCCUUCACAUUUUCUACCAAGGUUUAUCCUAGAACACCCAUAGGUAAGUUUAUCCUAGAACACCCACAGGUAAGUUUAUCCUAG